rnacentral:ncRNA from 1 species
CUACGGACUUAAGUAAUUGAGCCUUAAAGAAGAAACUCUUUAAGUGAAUGCUCUCAAACUCAGGGAAACCUAAAUCUGGUAACAGACAUGGCAAUCCUGAGCCAAGCCCAACAAUUUUAGACUUUAGAUUUUAGAUAUCUAAAAUCCAAAAUCUGAAAUCGAGGGAAGGUGCAGAGACCCGACGGGAGCUACCCUAACGUUAAGUCGAGGGUAAAGGGAGAGUCCAAUUCUCAAAGCCUAAAGAA